AGUUAUACUUCCUUAAGAUGGCAGAAGAGAUCCUUAUUACUCAUAAUCCACGAUGCCUCUGGCAACAUUUUAUCGAAGAUUGACCCUUUUCAAUUGAUCUUCAUAAUAUAUAAUGU